UCUAAACCAUGUCCAGGGCCCAAUCCUCAGGGCUUCUGAAUCAGCAGGCAGGAAUGGGGUGGGCCAACCACGUGGCCCAAGAACUGUCUGGCUAACAGUUUCCCAGCCUCCUGAGAAGCAAGGCCCAGAGGAACAAACACUGUGCGUGGGAAACCAGAGAGGGGCUCUGGAGGAGGGGACGGAAGAGGCCAGAGACAGGGUGGCUUUUCUGAAGAGUACUAGUAAAAGGAGAAAGGAAUUGAGGACUUUUGACCACACAACGUGUAAGAAAGAAAGUGUUACAGCGUUUGUGUUUUCCCGACUGGCUUUCGGGACCAUGGUCCCUUUUAGAGCGACACUACUGUCUUGCCCUGUGACAUCCUCCCAAAGAGCCUGAAUCACUGCAUGCACCAUAAUGAUGGUGGAUUAGGUGACUGAACGAAAGCUGUGAGGUAAUUAAAACAGGUGGAGAAAUAGUAAUAACAACAGCCCUCACAGUCAUCAGUGGCUACCUAUAAGAAUUCCCUAGCAUCUUCUAUCCAUUACAUUAUUUAAUCCUCUCUGCAAAACUCCACAUAUGGCAUCAUCUUAUUACAUAGGGAAAGCUUAGAUUAUUUGAUUAUCUUUGUUCUUGCAUCCUUUUUUUUUGUUGUUGUUCUUGCAUCCUAACAAGGCAACUUAGGUUGUAUCUAUACGAUGCCCAAUAGCUAGUUAAAUCAAAGCAAUUUUGGAAUCAUAUAUGCAAAGUUGUUUGUAGAACUAGUUUUUAUUUGUGUUAGAAUGUCUUUGCGUAAAUAAUCCAGUGAUUAUUUUUCAUUAUCAUUAUUUACAAAUUAUCAUCUUCCUAUCUCAGCACAAAUUAGAGGCUUUACUACAAGGCUUGUGGAGGAAGUACCCUACCAGCUAAUUCAACGCAAUACAUAAUAUUUAGUCCAUUAAACUACAGGCAUGAUCAGUGUCCCAUAAAAGCAACUAAAGAAGAGGAGUUUGUGGCUAGUUAUAUGUAAAAAUCAAUGUGUACGUUCCAAUGAGUUGUAUAAAAACAGUAAUAGUGUGGCCAUUUGUUCCCCCACACAGUGUAACACAGACAGAUCU
ensembl:lncRNA